ensembl:snoRNA SNORD24 Small nucleolar RNA SNORD24
UGCUGCUGUGAUGACACUUAUUUGCUACUCUUGACAAGCUGGAUGACGAGAUAUUCAACCACCAUGUUAAACCGUCUGAGGCA